GUAGGGGGCAAGCGUUGUCCGGAUUUACUGGGUGUAAAGGGUGCUCAGGCGGGUUUGUAAGUCAGAGGUGAAACUCCGAAGCUUAACUUCGGAACUGCCUUUGAUACUGCAAUCCUGGAGUUUGAGAGAGGCGAGUGGAAUAUCUGGUGUAGCAGUGAAAUGCGUAGAUAUCAGAUAGAACACCAAUGGCGAAGGCAGCUCGCUGGCUCAAUACUGACGCUAAAGCACGAAAGUGUGGGUAGCAAACAGGAUUAGAUACCCUGGUAGUCCACACCCUAAACGAUGAAUACUAGAUGUUGGUCCCUAUGGGGUCAGUAUCACAGCUAACGCAUUAAGUGCCCCGCCUGGGGAGUACGGCCGCAAGGUUA
rnacentral:rRNA from 1 species